rnacentral:rRNA from 1 species
GACGAACGCUGGCGGCGCGCUUAACACAUGCAAGUCGAACGGAAAGGCCUGCUUUCCCUUGUGGAUUGCGGGUACUCGAGUGGCGAACGGUUGAGUAACACGUGAGUGAUCUGCCCCCAACUUGGGUAUAAGCCUGGGAAACUGGGUCUAAUUCCCGAUAGGGCUGCAGGGUGGUGCCUGUGGUGGAAAACGAUUUUCUAGUGGUUGGGGAUGAGCUCGCGGCCUAUCAGCUUGUUGGUGGGGUAAUGGCCUACCAAGGCGGCGACGGGUAGCCGGCCUGAGAGGGUGGACGGCCACAUUGGGACUGAGAUACGGCCCAGACUCCUACGGGAGGCAGCAGUGGGGAAUAUUGCACAAUGGGCGGAAGCCUGAUGCAGCGACGCCGCGUGGGGGAUGACGGCCUUCGGGUUGUAAACUCCUUUCGACCGCGAGGAAGCCACCUGGUUGGAAGGGUGGUGACGGUAGUGGGAGAAGAAGCACCGGCUAACUACGUG